UGGGGAAUAUUGCACAAUGGGCGCAAGCCUGAUGCAGCCAUGCCGCGUGUGUGAAGAAGGCCUUCGGGUUGUAAAGCACUUUCAGCGAGGAGGAAGGUGGUGAACUUAAUACGUUCAUCAAUUGACGUUACUCGCAGAAGAAGCACCGGCUAACUCCGUGCCAGCAGCCGCGGUAAUACGGAGGGUGCAAGCGUUAAUCGGAAUUACUGGGCGUAAAGCGCACGCAGGCGGUUUUGUUAAGUCAGAUGUGAAAUCCCCGGGCUCAACCUGGGAACUGCAUUUGAAACUGGCAAGCUAGAGUCUCGUAGAGGGGGGUAGAAUUCCAGGUGUAGCGGUGAAAUGCGUAGAGAUCUGGAGGAAUACCGGUGGCGAAGGCGGCCCCCCUGGACGAAGACUGACGCUCAGGUGCGAAAGCGUGGGGAGCAAACAGAUUAGAUACCCUGGUAGUCCACGCUGUAAAACGAUGUCGAUUUUGGAGGUUGUGCCCCUUGAGGCGUGGNUUCCGGAGCUAACGNGUUAAAUCGACCGCC
rnacentral:rRNA from 1 species